rnacentral:rRNA from 1 species
AUGAACGCUAGCGGCAGGCUUAAUACAUGCAAGUCGAGGGGCAGCAUGAGUAGCAAUACUUGAUGGCGACCGGCAAACGGGUGCGGAACACGUACACAACCUUCCUUUAAGUGGGGAAUAGCCCAGAGAAAUUUGGAUUAAUACCCCGUAACAUAUAGAUGUGGCAUCACAAUUAUAUUAUAGGUUUACCGCUUAAAGAUGGGUGUGCGGCUGAUUAGAUAGUUGGCGGGGUAAUGGCCCACCAAGUCUACGAUCAGUAGCUGAUGUGAGAGCAUGAUCAGCCACACGGGCACUGAGACACGGGCCCGACUCCUACGGGAGGCAGCAGUAAGGAAUAUUGGACAAUGGACGCAAGUCUGAUCCAGCCAUGCCGCGUGAAGGAUUAAGGUCCUCUGGAUUGUAAACUUCUUUUAUAUGGGACGAAAAAAGGGCAUUCUUGCUCACUUGACGGUACCAUAUGAAUAAGCACCGGCUAACUCCGUG